rnacentral:rRNA from 1 species
GAUCCUGGUUCAGGAUGAACGCUGGCGGCGUGCUUAACACAUGCAAGUCGAGCGAAGCGCUUUGGAAAGAUUCUUCGGAUGAUUUCCUUUGUGACUGAGCGGCGACGGGUGAAGGUAACGCGUGGGUAACCUGCCUCAUACAGGGGGAUAACAGUUAGAAAUGACUGCUAAUACCGCAUAAGACCACGGUACCGCAUGGUACAGUGGUAAAAACUCCGGUGGUAUGAGAUGGACCCGCGUCUGAUUAGG